rnacentral:tRNA from 1 species
GGGGCCAUAGCUCAGUUGGCUAGAGCACCUGCUUUGCAAGCAGGACGUCGAGGGUUCGAGUCCCUCUGGCUCCA